CGAACGCUGGCUUCCUGCUUAACACAUGCAAGUCGAACGAUGAAGCCCUUCGGGGUGGAUUAGUGGCUAACCGGUGAGUAACACGUGGGCAAUCUGCCCUGCACUCUGGGACAAGCCCUGGAAACGGGGUCUAAUACCGGAUAUGACCUGCCGAGGCAUCUUGGCGGGUGGAAAGCUCCGGCGGUGCAGGAUGAGCCCGCGGCCUAUCAGCUUGUUGGUGAGGUAACGGCUCACCAAGGCGACGACUGGUAGCCGGCCUGAGAGGGCGACCGGCCACACUGGGACUGAGACACGGCCCAGACUCCUACGGGAGGCAGCAGUGGG
rnacentral:rRNA from 1 species